UUCGGGGGAAUGUGUACUUUCCAAAAAUAUAUGACUUUCUGGGGUGAGCGUACUUUUUAUUCUUUAGUUUAUUAGAGUAUCUCUGCUGUGCCUUCCCGAUAUUGCCCUUUUGGUAAUACCUUCUGCCUUUUUCUGUUAUGAAUGCCUUUCUCUAAGGAGAUCUCCUAUUCCGCUUCUCCUUGAACUCACCUCCAUUUACAUAUCCACUACCAAAACACCUCCCAAAAGCCCACUUGUUUCUCCUGUCUGUGCCCCCUUUUGUGUAGUCCUACCUCUUCUCUCCCUGGUAACUCCCAAUUAGCAAACCUACCACUAGAUAUUCCUCCCUUAUGCUCAAUUCCCAGCCCUCUUUCAUCUUGUGUCUCCUCUUCUCUUCUUGUCAGAUGCAUGGUGGGACACUACACUUUGGUGUGGUGCAUAAUACACUCACCCUUUGAUUGCCCAACAGUCAUAACUUUCCUGGGCUAAUAGGAAAUGCUAUCCCAUCCAAGACCUUUAGCAUACAAGUGGCAGGACUUACCAGAUGUAGGGGAUUUAAGCCUGUGAAGUCAUAUAUAUGUUAUCUGUAUGUCUGAUGUACAACAUACACACCCAUUUAUUCUGCUUUCUGAUGAUCUGGAAGCCCCACCUGCAGCUUCCGCUGUACCAGAACCCCCCGCGAAUUUCUGGGUGUUGUAGCUCAACAAGAGCCAGUGGUGUGGCAGUAUAUAUGCUUUUGUACUGAUUGGAGGACUUUUAGCUUUGCUUUAUACAGUGUAAUGAGAUUAACUCUGUUUUCUGUGAAUUAAAGUUGCACUAAUGGAUGUCCUUAAUGUAACCAACACAGCAUCCGGUGAAGAAAGAAGAGCAACUAUACAGGCCUAUGGACUUUCAGGUAAAUUUAAAGAUAUCUCAUAUUAAAAUGUUGUUGAGGAUUAAAAGUUUAAUAACACAAAAAGACUAAGUUUCCCUUUAAUUCUGAUGUUUUCUUAAUUCAUUCUAAACAUGAACAUGGAAAGAGAGCUGCCUGGCGUACUGCAAAUCUCUGUACUCGACACUCCCAUCUAGCACAGGUUUACAGUGCAUCGGGUCCUGCCUUGAAAGGUGAAGACAGAAGAGGAACUAUACAGGCCUAUGGGCUUUUAGCUUUUAGUUUUUAAGUGUAAAGCAAUCUUAUAUUGAAAAGUCAUUGAGGAGUAAUACUUUUAUAACAAAAUAAGAACAAGUUGAACUUCCCCUUUAAUUUUUUUUUCUUGAUUAAUUCUGAGCAGGCGCAUUGAAAGAGAGCUGCCCGGCAUGCUGCAAAUCUCUGUCCCCGACUCCAUCCCAACACAGGGAUUUGCACCGCGCUGGGUUCUGCCUUAACGGUGAAGAAAGAGCAACUAUACAGGCCUAUGGACUUUCAGGAACAUGGAAAGAGAGCUGCCUGGCGUACUGCAAAUCUUUGUACCCGACACUCCCAUCUAGCACAGAGGUUUGCAGUACAUUGGGUCCUGCCUUGAAAGGCGAAGAAAGAAGAGGAACUAUACAGGCCUAUGUGCUUUUAGCAAAUGAGGAGUGCUGGGGAACGGAAACGGUCCAUUCAACGUACACAAGAAUAAAUUAUUUUCAAGUGUUUGUAGAUGGCUUACUUGACGGAUACCAUAAAAAGUUGCAGUCUAACAAAUUUUCAGGUAAUUACAAAGACUUUAAAAAAAUUAUUUUAUUGAUUACUUUACAAAAUGUAUUCAAAGGACAUCAAUUCAAAGUAGCAACAAAGGUAAACUACAGGUGGUCCUGUAAUGACUAUGUACAAAUAGCAUUUAAAAGCUUUUUACAUUUUUACAUUUGUUUUAGCUUAACCACAAAAUCUGAAUCAAUUUCCUCCCACCCCACCCAAAUAAACCCCGUAACUGAGUGAAGUUUCCUUACAAACUGCCACCCAUUUGCCUCCCUGUAAAUCCUAUAAAUAUGGAAACCAAGAUUAUCCACCCAGAAUAAUUUUUAUCACACAGUAACAUGCUCACAAAUUCAUUCACAAGACCAAACAAAGAAAGUUAAAUAAAACAUGAAAUCUUAAUUUAGAAUUUUGCCCCUCCCCACAAAAAACUAAACAAAACCCAAAACUGCCUGCUUCUCCUUUGCACAAAGUGUAAAACAGACUUCCACAGACCUAAUGGUUUAAAUAUGCACACAUCUGUACUUACACUCUUAACACUGAUAACAAAUAGCUACCAUUAUAUGCAUUAAAAAGUCAGAUCUAUAUGCAUUAAAAAGUAAGAUCUAUAUGCAUUAAAAAGUAAGAUCUAUAACCUAUUAGCAUUUACCUGUUCACCCUCCCCAUUUUGUAAGCCCACAUAGCAGCAACCCAGUGGUACCAGAAAACCUGUUGGUAAUGGCUGUAAAUAUUGCAGAUGUCUGUAGCCUUAGUUAAAAUAUAAAAUGCCCAGUACACACUGCAUCUGUCCAAAUAGGACACUUUUCUACCACAUGUCCAGUUAUUCACUUUUGCCAGUGACAAAGGCAUUAAAAGGGGUUGUUCACCUUUAAGCUAACUUUUAGUGUGUUAUUUGUGUCCUAUUCUGAUUCUUUGCUGUUGGUCUUCAUGUUUAAAUUUUAGUUUUUAAAAUUUCCUUACUCUUCUACAUAAUUUCAGCCUCAAAAUGCAGAUCACUGACCCAGUCAGCCAAAGUAUUCCCCUGUAUGUUUACAGUUACUAUUCAAUAAUUAUUUUUUAUUCAAACCACUGCCAGAUUCCUAUGGUAAACAUAACCCUAGCAACCAAACUGCAACAUGUCUCAUAAGAUCAGUGUCUGCCAUACAAGUUAAUUUAAAGGUGAACAAAACCUCUAAAGGCAGAGAAAUUGGAGGCACAUUUAAAGGAGAAGGAAAGUCUCUGGUCAGCAUAAGCUCUAUAUAACAUUAUAUAAAGAUUAUUGCCUGCAAUAUGCUUAAGUGUUUCAGUAGAAUCAACUUCCUGUGGCAGGUUGGUGCUACUGCCUCUUCUGUUUUAGUAUGCGCACUGGAGUCUUUUUAAAAAAUUUUUUUUUGCAUAUUUAUGCGACGCACAGGUCACAUAGCGAUUCAACACAUCAACUGGAUGGAGAGAAAGUGACACAUGGUGGCUAGAAUUUACGCUCAGACACUGAAAACAAACGUUAGAUCAAAAUUUUACUCAAAAUCUAUCAGAUAAAAAUAUAGUAUAUGGAGGAAAAUAAUAUAAACGAUAAAAUUCGUACCAAGUUGAACUAUAAGGCCCGGGUGUAGACACCCCGAACCUAACACAAGUAUGGAGAGCUGAAGCUCAUAAAGUCUAAUGGUAAUCGAUUCCACUCACCCAGGUCCCAAAAUGGUCCGGGUGCUCAGGGCCCCGAACCCGUAGCCAAGGUGACAAUUCCAAUAUUCAAACGGUGUGCAUGGUGGCUAGAAGUCAAAGAGCGCAUUAUCACUUCCAUCAGCGAUAAGUGUGGUUCAGUUGGCACAAAUAGUGGCAGAGGUUUUAUAUAAUUGAUUUUCCUUCUCCUUUAAUGUGGUUCUGCAGAUAAGUAUAACCACUGGUACAUUUUAUAGCCCUGCAGAACUGAAUCCAGAACUUUUUCACCUCAGCCAGAAGUAUUUUUUAAAUAAAAUCACUUUGGUCCUGCUGACCAGCUACAGCUGUGCCCAGUGUUAAGCUAAAAGUGAAUAUCCUUGCAAAAAUGUAACCCUUCUUACAUUCUGAAUUAGCGAAUUAGCACUAAGAAAAUGAAAACUGUAGAUAUGGAUCUUUUGAUCCUUUAUAAGUAUAUAGCUUUGUGGCCAUUAAGCUACUAAACAUACCCAGUACCACACCUACAUCCAGUUGAUUGUGAAGGAACUACAACAAUCCAAGAAUGCCAGACAGUCAAUGGGAGGCAGCUAUACUAACACUGGGAAAUGUUUGCAUGAUAGACAAAUAGCAAUCAUUCAUAAAACAUUCAGGAAACCUAUAGGAGCUGACAGGCAUUUUACUCUGCAAUCUAAAUGCAUACCCACUGCUACUUAUCACCAGAAAUGUACCAAUAUCUGAACGUACAGCUGCAUGGAUGCAAUACCCAAGUCAAAUGCUAAAGUGCAAGUUUCAUUCUACCUGCAUCUAAUGCAGAACAUGCUGCAAUAAAAUAGCAUUCAACAAUACCGGUACAGACUUUAACCAGACAUCUUGUCGGCAGCUGAUUGUAAGCAGCUGUCUGCACAUUCGCUUACAAAGCCAAAACCUAAGAGGUCACACCAGAGUAGGAAAAUAAAUUUUCAUUCCCAUAAUUUCAGUAGGUUACCCACCCUGAACAAAAUAGAAUGAUAUGAAGUUUAGGAUCUUGUGUAUUAAAGCACUGUAAAAAUUGGAGUACAUCGUAAUUCUAAUUACAAAAACAAAUGGCAGGCACUUUAAUACAGCUAAGCACAAUUCAUGAAGGACCUGGGAUCUUAUUUGCAUCAGUCUUUCAAUAAAAUUCAUUUUGUAAAACAGCUGAAAACAUUUGUUGAUAAAUAACGCAGAGGGGAGUAUU